rnacentral:rRNA from 1 species
UGGGGAAUUUUGGACAAUGGGCGCAAGCCUGAUCCAGCAAUGCCGCGUGCAGGAUGAAGGCCUUCGGGUUGUAACUGCUUUUGUACGGAGCGAAAAGGUCUGCCCUAAUACGGUGGUCUCAUGACGGUACCGUAAGAAUAAGCACCGGCUAACUACGUGCCAGCAGCCGCGGUAAUACGUAGGGUGCGAGCGUUAAUCGGAAUUACUGGGCGUAAAGCGUGCGCAGGCGGUUAUAUAAGACAGAUGUGAAAUCCCCGGGCUCAACCUGGGACCUGCAUUUGUGACGGUAUAGCUAGAGUAAGGUAGAGGGGGAUGGAAUUCCGCGUGUAGCAGGGAAAUGCGUAGAUAUGGGGAGGAACACCGAUGGCGAAGGCAAUCCCCUGGACCUGUACUGACGCUCAGGCACGAAAGCGUGGGGAGCAAACA